CUACGGGUCGCUGCAGUGGGGAAUAUUGCACAAUGGGGGGAACCCUGAUGCAGCAACGCCGCGUGGAGGAUGACGCAUUUCGGUGUGUAAACUCCUUUUAUAUGUCAAGAAAAUGACGGUAGCAUAUGAAUAAGCACCGGCUAACUCCGUGCCAGCAGCCGCGGUAAUACGGAGGGUGCAAGCGUUACUCGGAAUCACUGGGCGUAAAGGACGCGUAGGCGGGUUGGAAAGUCAGGUGUGAAAUCCUACAGCUUAACUGUAGAACUGCACUUGAAACUUCUAAUCUAGAGUAUGGGAGGGGGAGAUGGAAUUAGUGGUGUAGGGGUAAAAUCCGUAGAUAUCACUAGGAAUACCUAAAGCGGAGGCGAUCUCCUGGAACAUUACUGACGCUAAGGCGUGAAAGCGUGGGGAGCAAACAGGAUUAGAUACCCCUGUAGUC
rnacentral:rRNA from 1 species